rnacentral:lncRNA from 1 species
CCAAACCACGCAAGACGUCAAAAGUCUACCCUUUAUGACCGAGACCUUCAAGUCCUUGUCGGCUUGCUUAUAGUUUGUGGACUAUAUACACUUGAAGUAGUGGUUAAUUACGUAUGCUUCUGUUGAAAAUUUUGAUCAGUUCCACAUGAUGAGUUUGUAAUUGUUUUCCUUUUUCUUUUCUUUAUAUGCGGGAAAGAAGAGAGAGAAUUAAUUCCUAAACCACUACAUAUACUUCAUUUUGCAACAUGCCUUGUUUGCUAAUAACAUAAACAAUUCCGGUCAGUGUUUCGAAGUGUGUGAACCCUUCAAGAGUCAUGAGGAUAGCUUGCAUCAUGAUAUUUUCUAUUGUACUAGUACUCUUGUUGCUUCAUACUAUUCCUAGGAGUUGCUCAGCCAUAAGUACUAGUCUUCAUCAUCAUCAUAAUCAUGUAACUCUAAUUAACAUCACCACGGAUGAAUCCACUCUUUUGGCCUUGAAAUCUAGUAUCAUUUCUGAUCCUACCCAUACCCUGACAAACAAUUGGUCUGUCGCUAAAGGCUCUUGUUGUAACUGGGUUGGAGUCACUUGUGGCACUCGCCAUAAACGAGUCGUCGCCUUAGAUCUUUCAACCAUGGGCCUAAUAGGCACCAUUCCUCCGCAAAUUGGAAACCUCUCAUUCCUUGUUUCCCUUGGUCUUAGCAAUAAUAGAUUCAGCGGUUCCUUUCCCAAAGAAUUGUCUGGUUUGCGUCGACUUAAAAAAUUAAGUCUAAGAUUCAACAACUUUGGAGGGGAGCUUCCCUCAUGGUUGGGUGAAUUAACCAAACUUGAACAUUUGUCGCUUGGAUAUAACAAUUUUACAGGCAUUAUUCCACCUUCUUUUUCCAACAUAACAAAGCUUGUGCGGUUGAGUUUAGUGGACAACUCUCUUCGAGGAAGUAUUCCGCCCAAGAUUGGUAGUCUUGCUAACUUGGAAGUAUUUUCGAUAGAAAGUAACCAGCUUACUGGCUCCAUCCCACUCACCAUCUAUAACAUCUCAACACUGAAAGUUAUUGCGUUUACAAAUAAUAGUUUGUCUGGUAAUCUGCCACCGGAUAUUUGUAAACGUAUCCCGAAUAUCGAAGGGCUUUAUCUGUUUCUAAACGAACUGUCUGGCCCAAUUCCUUCAUCUCUGCAUGAAUGCUCAAAACUUGAAGUUCUCGCUUUGCAAACCAACGAAUUCAGUGGAACCAUUCCAAGAGAGAUUGGAAACUUAACUCUGCUGCUCACGUUGUCCCUCGGUUACAACUACUUGAAAGGUAUGGUUAUGAUGCUAGUUGCUGCUUUUACCUUUAAGAUUACUUUCUUUCCUUUUCAACGAUAUUAAUUUAAUAAAUUAUAAAAAAAUAUUUGUUAUAAAUUUUUAUUCCAUCCGUCUAAUUUUAUUUAUCCUAAUUAAUUUGAAAAUACACGUAUAUUAAAAAAAUUAUCUCGAAAUUACUCAUCUUAAUUACUCUAUUAUCAUUUUGUUUGUUUUAAUUAAUUUUCUUCCUUUUUCUUUCUCUUUCUUGAAAUAAUAAAAUAGAGGCGAGAAAGAGGAGGAAAAAGGAGUAAGGCAUGAUUCUCUUUUUAAUAUCAGAGUUAAUAGUAUUAAUUUUUUCAAUAUAUGUCAUGUUGUUUUUAAUAAUUUUUUUUAAAUAAAGUUAAAUGAGGAUAAUAUUAAAAGAAAUAAGGUCAACAUAUUAUUAAAAUGAAACGAGAAUAAGUAAAUUUGAACAAUUAAAAAGGAAAUUAUGAUAAAUAAACUUGAACGGAGACAAUAUUACGUAAUACUAUAUAUCCAAAAAAUUAAAUUCUUAUUAAAUAUGUUUUUUUUAAUAAUAGUCUCAUAUUAAUAUCAGGUAACAUAUUCUUCAUAACAAAAUUAUUUAUUUUAAAAUUAUAUUAUAUAAGUAAUGUAAACUCGAAUAUCUAUAUUAGUAAUAAUGGCAUAGUUCUAUACAAAUUAGGUAAGAUGGUCUAAAUUAGUGUAUUUGUGACGACCCCAAAUUAGGUAUACAUCAUCCAUUCUGAGUCGCCAAAUACAUGGUACAGAAACAAAUACAACUUCAGUAAUACAAUUGUCGUGCAAAAUACGACAACACAUAUACUGUGAGUUUGAAUACAAAUAUAGUCUAAUAGAGAGUAUACAAACUCAAAAGAAGUCCUCAUUAUAAUUAUUGAUACACUAUUUUACAAAAUAGUGAGGACUACUAAUAUAUCUAUCCUGAACCAUCACUCCAUACCCUGGCUAGUUCUUGCUAUGUUAUCACCUCCUGAGAAGAAAAAAUGGAACAAAAAGGAAAAGAGUGAGCUCAACUAGCCCAAUAAAGAAUAUUAUGACUAAGAUAAUAUACAACAAUUUAUCAUUAGUCUUCAACAGGGAAAAAUCUGAUAAAAUAUAAUAGACAACAAGUUUUAGAUCAACAACUGCAGCGAAAACAGCAAUCCAUUAAAAGAGUCAAGUAGAGAAAGAAUUUUACUAUCUUCUAAGAUUUAACAGUCCAUCAUCAAUAAUUUAUCCCUGUAACAUCAAUCAAUAUACAUCUUGAAUCAAAUAUUCAUCUUUACACUAUAGGCCAAAUAUAUUUAUUUGUAUCACCAGUUGGUCAUGUUCAUCUCAACACCUGUUCAUCUUUGCACUACGGGCCAAAGAUAUUCAUCAGUUAAUCAUUCAUCUUUGCACUACGGGCCAAAGAUAUUCAUCAGUUAAUCAUUCAUCUUUGCACUACGGGCCAAAGAUAUUCAGUAAUAUCAUUAUUUAGGAUUGAGGAAGAUGAAAAAUAUUUUAAAGAACAAAUUCAGUGAGACAGAAGGACAAAUAUUAGGGAUUCAUAUUUCAGUUUAUCCAAGUUCAAUAAUACUCCAUAAUAAACUAUAGUGAAGUAAAAUUCAAGAAUGAAGAUCAAAACAUGGAUUAAAUUUCAAGAAUAAGGGUCACAACAGAUAACUUGGAAGAAGAAAAAAAAUUUUCUUUUGUGAACAGUAACCGUGAAUAGUACCUGUGAACAGUACCCGUGAACAGUAACUGUGAACAGUACCCGUGAAUAGUACCCAGUCAUGAAAAGUUCUAAAUUUGAUAAAAAAGUUCAGACCAAUAUUUCUAUGAAAUGAUAUUAGAUGAAACGAAAUUUCUAAUCAUUUCAGGAAUUAUAGAAGCAAUACUUACCAUAGUAAGUUCAAAUUUAGGAAUAUGAAAUGAAAUAAUAUUCCUUUCAUACUAUGGAGUAUGAAAGAAAAUAAUAUUUCUUACGAGUAUUGAAAUAAAAUAAUAUCUUUUACCUUGGUAGAAACUGGAUUUGACUGGAAUAUCAGAUAUUAUUCUGAGAAAAUCUUGUAGAAAAACUACGCUCAAAAUAUUCUUAUACUCAAGAAAAAUACUCACAAUACUUUAGAAUAAGAAUUUCUGAAUUUGAAAAUGGUGUGAUUUUAGGAUGGAGGGGUUACCCCCUAUUUAUACUAAAAGCCUCGGAUGAAAAAUCAACAAGCUGCCUAACUUGCAAAUUUUUUCUCCACAUAAUCUUUUCCAUUCAAAGCCUGCCUAACUUUUUUUUCUUUCCACGCCUAACCUCUUUCUUUUCUUCUUUGCCCAACCAAUCAACUCCUUAAGGCCCACACCAUUGGAGAAAAGUUUGCAGGCAUCUUAAUUUCCACCACCAACCAUUAAUAACACAUGGAUAUAUAUAUAUAUAUAUAUAUAUAUAUAUAUAUAUAUAUAUAUAUAUAUAUAACACUNNNNNNNNNNNNNNNNNNNNNNNNNNNNNNNNNNNNNNNNNNNNNNNNNNNNNNNNNNNNNNNNNNNNNNNNNNNNNNNNNNNNNNNNNNNNNNNNNNNNNNNNNNNNNNNNNNNNNNNNNNNNNNNNNNNNNNNNNNNNNNNNNNNNNNNNNNNNNNNNNNNNNNNNNNNNNNNNNNNNNNNNNNNNNNNNNNNNNNNNNNNNNNNNNNNNNNNNNNNNNNNNNNNNNNNNNNNNNNNNNNNNNNNNNNNNNNNNNNNNNNNNNNNNNNNNNNNNNNNNNNNNNNNNNNNNNNNNNNNNNNNNNNNNNNNNNNNNNNNNNAAAUAUCAACGCAGCAAUUAUUGAAUCAAUAAAAUAAAAUAUUGAACAUUAAUUACUGUAAAAAUUAUUGAGUAGUGCCUUCUUACGUAAGAAUCAAUAAUUCAACAAUACUGUGCAAUACCGUGUGCUACUGUGCAACCACGCGUAUUACUGUAUUUUAACCACCAGGUAAUCCAACAGUGUUAACGGUAACAACUACACCGUUAUUUAUAAAAACUCAAACUUUGUCGUUUUCUUCAUCCGACAGUUAUUCAGUUAUGGAGCCCACAAAUGACUGUGCCGUCGUACGGAUAUUCUCGACAAGAAGAAUAUUCUACGACCAAACGAAUAUUUCCCGACAACAAUGAUUAUUUUAUAACCACUUGCUUAUUUUGUAAAAUUUGCACAUUUCACCCAUAACCAAAGUAUUAUAUCAAAUUAUCACCUUAUUAUUUCAAGAUAAUAAAUAGAGAAAUUCAAUUUUAUUUAUAAUAAGUUGGGGUCUUACAGUAUUAUUUCGGGUUAAAUGUUUUUUCAGUCACUGUACUAUAAGUCGACUUACAGAUGGAUAACUGAACUUUUUUUUUCUUACAGUCAACUCAUUGUACUCUACUUUUCUAACAAAAAGUUAAAAAAACCGUUAAAACCUUUGACUUUAACGGAACGGUGCUAAGUCAGCUGCUGAGUUGUCUAAAAAAAGCUUACGUGUCAGUUAGUACGCGACGUGGCAAUGAUGAUGUGGAUGUGGAGGAAACAUUUUAUUAAAAAAUUGAAAAUAAUAUUUUAAAGUAUAAUAUAAAUUUAAAAAAUUAGCCAAAAAAUAAGAAAAAUAAAAUAAAAUAUAUUUAAUUAUUUUUGUAAUUAAUAUCAAAUAAAAUUUUAUUUAUAAUUAAGCCAUUUAUAAAAUAUAAAAACUAAAAGUUUGCUAAUAUAUAUAUAUUUUUUAAUAAAAGUAAUUAUUUUUUUAUUAAAAAAAACUGCAUUCUUAAUUAUUUUUAUUAAAAAAACAGCAUUUUUUUUUAAAAAAAUAUAUUUUUAUUAAAAAAAAACUGCACUUUUUAUUUUAUUUUUAUAAAAAAAGAAAACUGCGUUUUAUAUUUUUUUUUAAUUUAAAAACUGCAUUUUUUAUUUUAUUUUUUAAAAAAAAAACUGCGAUUUUUUUUAUUAAAAAAAAAUUGCAUUUUUUAUUUUAUUUUUAUAUAAAAAAAACUUCAUUUUUUUUUAUUUUUAUUAAAAAAAAUGCAGUGUUUUUAAUAAAAAUAAUUAAAAAUGCAAUUUUUUUAAUAAAAAAACUAAUAAUAACUUUAUUAAAAAAAUUUAAAGUUAUUAAAAAAAUUUAAAUAUAUUAGCAAACUUUUAUUUUUUAUAUUUUAUAAAUGGCUUAAUUAUAAAUAAAUUUUUAUUUGAUAUUAAUUACAAAAAUAAUUAAAUAUAUUUUAUUAUUUUUUGGCUAAUUUUUUAAUUUUAUAUUAUACUUUAAAAUAUUUUUUUCUAUUUUUUCAUAAAAUUUUUUAUCCAAAUCCACAUCAUCAUUGCCACGUCGCAUACUAAUUGACACGUAAGGUUUUUUUGGACAACUCAGCAGCUUAUUCAGCACCGUUCCGUUAAAGACAAAGCUUUUAACGGUUUUUUUAACUUUUUGUUAGAAAAGUUGAGUACAGUGAGUUGACUGUAAGAAAAAAAAAGUUCAGUUAUCCAUUUGUAAGUCGACCUAUAGUACAGUGACUGAAAAGUAUUUAACCUAUAUUGUUUCAUUCUAAAACUAUAUAAUUAAUCUAUUGAACAAAAUUGUGCAUUCAAAAAGCGAGUUGACUUAUAAACUCGAUUAAAAUAUAAAAAGUUUAAGAGUAAAAUACAUUGACAAUCCCUGUAGAUAACCAUAACAACAUUCACUACUCCUCUAGUUUUUCAAACAACAGUCAGUAUCUAUUUCGUCUAUAAUAUAUAACAUUCACUACUCCUAGUGUGGUUAACCAACUAAUAUCCAAAAAUAUUUUUAAUAUAAUGUCUAAUAUACCCUUCAAGUUAUAAUGUUUAAUAUAUCCGCUAAAUAUAAAUUUGUAUGUUAUAAUUUUUACUUAACUUGUUCUAAUUAAUUAAAUUAUGAAGUUGUGCAAUAAAUAACAUAAAUAUCAAAAAAUAAUAAAUAUUUAUUUAGAUCAAGAAAAUAAAGUCAUACACUUUUUUCUAAUUAAAUUUCUUAAAGAUUAAAAUUUAUGUAAUAUACAUUCAAAUAUAUAUUUUUGUAAUUAAUAAGUAAAAUUUUAAUAAGCAUAAAAGUACAAAUUAACGCAAAAAAAUCUAAUUAUUUUUUCCAAAUAUUAAAAUUUACAUAAAAUAAACUUAUUAGUACAUAAAGAAUCUUAUUAUUCAUAUAAAAAAAGUAUUAAAAAUUAUAUUAAUUAUUUUUAUCAAGUAUUAAACUAAAUAUAGGUCACACUUAAGCAUAAUUAUUUACAAUAAAAAUGACAAAUCUUAUUACUAAAAAAAAUACAUUAAAAAUUCUUUUAAUAAGAUAGAGGUAGUAAUAAAUAUUAUUAUAUUUUUUUAUUCAAUAUUGUAUAAAAACAACACCAACUGUAUACUAAAAAAUGUAAUUAAAAUCCCAAAUUUUGACAUAUACUCAAGAAAAUUUAACAUAUAAAAAUCAUAAUAUGAAACUAAUAAUUAAAAUAAUAUUUUUUGUUGUUAAACACCAAAAACUAAACUAACAACAUACUUAAUCACUUUAAUUAGAAAAUCUCCAUUAAUAAUUUAAUUUAAAAUUCUUAAUAUUUGUGUCACUUAUCCAAAAAUUUGUGUUAAUUAAAUUAAAUUAUUUGAAUGAGAGUCUUAAUUACAAAUAAAGUUAUAAUUAAAAUGUAUUGUAUUAAAAAAAGAUAAUUAAACACACACACACACACACACACACACACACACACACAUAUAUAUAUAUAUAUAUAUAUAUAUAUUAUUCAGGAAAUAAAAUUUGAUAACAUACAAGGGUAAAUAUACAAUUUUAUCAUUUAAUCAAUCCUAAAAACUUGCAGAGGUACUAAUUGUUACUUAAAAAAUUAGAGGGAAGGUGCGUGUUAUUAUGGUUAUCUAGGGGGUGUCACUGUAUUUUACUCAAUUUUUAAAUAAGUAUAUUUUUUUACGUGCUAAGAUUUAAUUUUUUAAUUAAUACUCUCUCCAUUCCAUAAUAAUAGACUUUUUAGAGAAAAAAUUUUAUUUCAAUUUAUUUUCCGUUUAUAACUUCUUAGGAGAAUAAUUUAUUUACAUUCGUAUAUCAUCCCUUCUCUCAUUGUCUCAAAAAAUUAUAUUGUAUUAAUAAUUUUUAACUUCUCAAAAAAGGGAUAAUGAUAAAAUUUCACACAAAUUUCAAGUAUUUGUGUUUCAGUCUAAUCAUCACUUACAAAAUAACUUGCAUCAUAUUACUCGUUCACAUAACUUACAUGCAUCAUUUUUUAUUUUAUUUUGCUAGUUUUAGGCGAAAUUUAACAUUCUUGCAUUUGAUAGGGAUGAAUCCAAAACCUCCUGGUGAUUUACGUGCAUCAUAUUACUCAUUCACAUAUUCACAUACAAAAUAAUUUAAAUCAUAUUACUCAUAGAGUCUAAUCAUCAUUAGUUUGAGGAUAAAAUGUAAAUUGCCAGAUAGCUUUUUUGUCCGCUACAUACAUAUAUUUCAAGUGCUCUUAAAUCUUAAUUGUGCUUUUGUCAUAACUCUUUUUUGUCCAUUUCGAAUUUUCGACAGGUACAAUUUCCCGAGAGAUUGACAAUCUUUAUAAUCUACAGAAACUAGCGUUAAGUUUCAAUAGCUUGACAGGUACUCCAUACUCAAUUUUCAAUCUCUCCAAACUUAAUUAGUAAUAAUUAAUUCUUAUAGUUAGUGAUUGUAUUACAUGAAUUAUAUAUUCCUAUAUCUUAGUAAUAUUAAUAGAUAUUAAUAUUGGUUAAGAUGGUUUUUUUUAUAGGAAUAUUAGUUCCUUCUACAACUAUAUCAUAUAACUAACUAUCAUAUUUUAUAGUAUUUAAUUAAUAUCAAAUACUUAUAAAAAGAUUACCAGAUGCUUUUGUCAAUAAUUAAUUGUUUUUUUCAUUUCGAAUUAAUUUUGGGCAGGUACAAUUCCCCAAGAGAUUGGCCAUCUUUAUAAUCUACAGCAUAUAGACUUGAGUUUCAAUAACUUUACGGGUAUUCCAGACUUAAUUUUCAAUCUCUCCAAGCUAGAAUACACCACAAUGGCUGAGAACCAUCUCAGGAAAACUUCCAUCCAAUAUUGGCCACAAACAACCCAAUCUAGCAACACUUGAUAUUGAAGGGAAUAAUUUCACAGGGAUUUUGCCCGAUUCCAUCUCAAAUGCUACUAAACUAGAGCAUAUAGUGAUUUCUCGUAAUAAAUUCUCCGGUACAAUUCCCAAUUCACUAGGAAAUUUGGAACUCCUCGAAAUCCUUGCCUUUGAGGAGAAUAACUUCGUCUUUGAAAAAUCAUCCACGGAAAUCAGCUUCAUCACUAGCUUGACAAAUUGUAGAAACUUGAGACUUUUAUAUAUAUCACGUAAUUCUCUAAAUGGAUACCUUCCGGCUUCCAUCGAAAAUUUCUCAACAGCUUUUGAAGACUUUCGUGAAGAAAUGAUCGGAAUUAGGGGCAUCCUUCCCAGUGGAAUUGGUAAUUUGAGUAGUCUUACAACAUUAUAUCUAGGUUACAACGAAUUGACCGGAAAAAUUCCUGUAGCAAUCAGAGGUUUGUCGACCCUUCAAAGAUUACAUCUGUUUGAAAACAAGAUUGAAGGAUCCAUUCCGGAUGAUCUAUGUCUAUUACAGAACUUGGGCAGUUUACGCUUAGAACUAAACAAAAUUUCGGGUCCAUUGCCAGAUUGCUUAGGAAAUAUUACUUCUCUAAGAUAUCUUUAUCUUAGUUCCAAUGCAUUGACCUCUAGAUUACCAACACAUCUUGGGAACCUAAAGGAUCUUUUGGAAUUCAAUGCAUCCAGAAAUUCUUUCAGUGGUCAUCUACCUAUUGAACUGAGCAAUUUGAAGGCUGCAGUGCUAAUAGAUUUGUCAUAUAAUCAAUUUUCUGGGAACAUGCCUAACAUACUUGGCCAGCUCCCAAACAUGGUUAAUCUUUCUUUGGCAAAUAAUAUUCUACAAGGACCUAUUCCUGAUACAUUUAAAUAUUCAGUGGGCUUAGAAUACUUGGAUUUGUCACAUAACAACUUUUCUGGUGUGAUUCCCAAGUCACUAGAGGCACUCUUUCAUCUUCGCUACUUCAAUGUAGCUUUUAAUAGUUUAAGAGGAGAAAUUCCAAGUGAAGGUCCUUUCAAAAACUUCACUCGUCAAUCUUUCAUGUCUAAUGAAGCAUUGUGUGGUGCUCCUCGAUUUCAAGUCCCACAAUGUCAUAACAGCUCUAUUCAUCAUGGAUCACAAAGAAAAAAUAGAGUGCUUCAAGCUAUAUGUAUCUCCCUAGUGACGGCAUCAAUAUUUGUUACCUUGACCUUUUCAUUUGUGUGGAUACGACUUCGAAGGAAAAGUAAGGUUCCAUCUCAAAUUGAUUUGUCACAAUUAAUUGCCCUUUAAGAAUCUCAUAUUACGAAUUACGACUAGCAACUGAUGCAUUUAGUGAAAGCAAUUUACUUGGCAUGGGUAGCUUUGGUUCGGUUUACAAAGGGGUACUUGCGAAUGGGACAUUCAUUGCGAUUAAAGUAUUCAAUUUGCAAUUUGAAGGAGCAUUCAAGAGUUUCGAUGUAGAAUGUGAAGUAUUGCGCAACCUUCGCCACCGAAAUAUAUGCAAAGUCAUUAGUAGUUGCUCUAACCUUGAUUUCAAGGCAUUGGUACUUGAAUACAUGUCGAAUGGGAGCCUUGAGAAGCGGUUGUACUCUCAUAAUCAUUUCUUAGAUAUUUUGCAAAGAAUAGACAUAAUGAUAGAUGUGGCAUGUGUUUUGGACUAUCUUCAUUAUGGUUAUUCAACAACAAUAGUUCAUUGUGAUCUAAAGCCCAGCAACAUCCUUCUAGAUGAAGAUAUGGUUGCACAUCUGAGUGACUUUGGCAUAGCAAAGUUAUUGGGAGAAGGGGAAAAUAUUGCACAAACCAUGACUUUAGCUACAAUUGGAUAUAUUGCACCAGGUGACCCUCUAUCUUAUUAAUUUUAUUUUUUCUUGGCUCAAAUAUAUAUAUUCUUCUGCUAAGUUUUACGAAAUACGUUUUUGUUUACCAUGUUGCUUUGUGAUGUUGGAUCGUUUUUCAGAGUAUGGAUCAGAAGGAUUAGUGUCCAAGAAAUGUGAUGUUUACAGUUAUGGUAUUAUGUUGAUGGAAAUAUUUACAAGAAUUAAGCCCAAUGAUAAACAAUUUCUUGGAAAUAUGAGUCUUAAGCAUUGGGUAAGCACUUCAUUUCCUAAGUCACUCAUCCAAGUUAUUGACGCAAACUUGCUAAAACCAGAAGAUGGUGACAUAACUUUGAAGGUAAGUUGUAUAUCAUCUAUCAUGGAAUUGGCUUUGAGUUGCUCUGCAGAUUCACCUAAUGAGAGGUUCGACAUAAAAGAUGUCAUGGUAGCACUCAAGAAGAUUAGACUUCAUUUCCUUGCGAAUCAUGGACAGACUUGAAACAUCAAAGUACUCCUUGUAAAUUAUGUUUUGUAACUCUAAUUCUCCUAUCUAAAUACAAGAAUAUUGUCAUGAUCAUGGAUUUGCCCAUGAACAGUAUGUUUUGGUACCCAAUCUUUUGGAUGAUUGUAAACUAUGUAUUGUCCUUUAAUUCUAUGUAUUAUGGUGUUAUUGUGUCAUACACGCUGUGUUUUUUCUACUGUAUAUUGUUCCUUUUAAACUUAAUUUGGAGGAAUAUAAUUUGAAUGGUUGAAUAGUCCUUUAAUUUUGUAAAUAAAAUUUAGUUCAAUCAGUUAAUUGGAAAAAAAAGAUCAAUUAAUUGAGGUUCUUUUGAGCAAGGAAAAAAUGAUUUAACCCAUUUUCUUUCCCAGCUUCUGGCAUGCCAUUUUUGCCAAGUAAAAACAUAUAAUAUUUUUGCACCCAUGCUUGAUAUGUUUGAAUGUGUGGGGGUAUAUAUAUCACAAAAAGUGCAAAACAUGGAAAAUAUUUGCUACAAUCAUUUUCCUCUGCAAGUGUGAUUUGGUUACAAUUUGACGACUUAACAAAGCAUAAUAGAGUAAACACUUCGUACAUUUAAAGCGGGCACUACAAAUGUAGCCAAUUCCAAGAAAAGAAAUUAUACUUGUGCCAUCAACAUAGAAAUGAAUUGUUAGUGACACCAUGUACAAAUUUUAUGAUUUAUCUCAGGGAUAUAAAUAAGUCUAUAUUGGGUAACAGCCAUUCCAUCCAUUUUUAUGUUGGCGGGCAUGACAGUUUCAUAACCUACAAAAUGGGUGUAUCAAGAUCUUCUCUCGAACUUCUUCUCACUUGAUCUUUUCUCCUUUGCUUCCCGCCGUCUUUGCUGCCUGUAAAAUGAAAGGCUUUGACUAAUGUGACCAGUGACAACAUCAAUUUAAAGCAAAUUGCUCAUGUUGAAAAAUAACCAAAUCUAAGACUAGGUAGGUUCAUUGUCAAUUUCAUCUUACAACCCACUUUGCAUGACAACAAAUAUGAGACAAAAUAUUGGUUAUGGUGCAAUUGAGAUCAUAUAUUGGUUAUGCCAACACAACCAAGUCACAUCAGCAUUUUUUACCACAUAAUAAGUUUAGAUAUGUGAUGUAGGACAAAAACUGGAAAAAAAACACUGGUCCGAAGAAAUGACAUUAAUUCCGAAGACACUAAUUUUCAAAGGCAAUAAUGUUGAGCUAGUUCGGUUGAUUUAGCGGUCGGGAGUUAGAUUUGUCUUCUCUUCGGAACGGUCGAUUUCACCCAGUAACGAUUGGCUUUAGGAUAAGUCUUCUGAUACGAAAAUGGUGUCCAUGACCAGAUCUUCAAGUCUUCAAAUUAUAUCCGGUAUGUUGUCUUGUGUAGUAGUCACUCGGGAUUUUAAGUUAUGGUUCUUGUGUGACACUUUUGUAUGAAAUAUGGGUUUAAAUGAUGUUAAGAUGACGUGAAUGUAGUAUUGAGGUGGCAAAAUGAUGUUUUUGCCCCUCACCGUGGUUAUCUCCGGCUCUGCGCAGAUGUAGCAAUCGUUGCUCAAGGUUAUCUCUGAGAUUGGGCUGUUGUGAAUGCUGAAUGUCCUCAGGGUUGUCUCUGAGGUGUGUUUUACCUCCUGGGGUUAUAUCUGAGGUUGGAACUGAGUGCCUCGGAGUUGUCUCUGAGGUUAAAAUUGACUUUUCCGGGGUUAUCUCCGGAAUUAGAACUGCAUCCCUCGAGGUUAUCUCUGAGGUUGGAACUGAGUCUCUCAGAGUUGUCUCCGGGAUUGAAAUUGACUAUCUCGGAGUUGUCUCCGAGGUUGAAAAUUGAGCAUCCCGAGGUUGUAUUCGGGAUUGAGCUGAUUUGACUUUUAAGAUUGUCUCUGAAAGACGAUUUUAGAUAAGUCUUUGUCGGAUUGCUUAUAGUUUAUGUGGACUACAUUUGAAGUAGUGGUAUUGAUUUUCCUUUCCAGUCUUCCCGUGGAAAUUAUUGAGAUAAAUUUCUCCGAAAUACACUUGCAACUUCUAUAAUUAUUAUAAAUUAAUUAUUGUGAUAUAAUGGCCUAUAAUUAUUAUACUAUGUAUAAUAAUUAAAUGUUCUAUACAGAAAUACACGUGCAACUUCUAUAAUAAUUUAAUGUUCUUAAAAAUCUAUAAUAAUAAAAAAUUUAAAAAAUAGUUUGACAUUUUUAAAGUGUAUUUCUUAUGCCAAAAUUGAAAUAAGUUUCUAAAAUGACAAACCAAUAAAAGAAUUAGUUGGGUAGGUUCUUCUUAGUCCUUUGAGUAGUCACAAUCACAAUGAGAAACAAGUGCCUACUGAACUUAAAGCACAAAGGCCACUGCAGUGAACAGGGGCAGAUCCAUAAUUUUUUUAAUAGGAGCAGAUUUUAAUUAAUUUUUUUUAUUAAAGUUAAAUAAAUAAAAUUUGAACUAAUUAUAAUAAUAUUUACAAAUUACAAUAAAUAUUCAUAAUCUAAAGUAAAAAAAAUUUAAAUAAAAAAAAUUUAAAUACAAUUUAGAAGACAAAAAUAUAAUGAAUCUACGUUUGUAUGUACUUUUAUUUAGAAUCUGGAUUAUUUUUGCUCUUUCUAAAUUUAACUCUUCCAUUAAUCUAUUUUAUUAAAUUUAUUCACUUACAUAUUUGUCUCUACUCUAUACCUAAAAAUAAUCCAACAGGAGCUGACUAUGCUGCCCCCUUAAUGGGUUUUUACAUUUUGGUUUUCAAAGUUUAUUAUUGAACCUAAUGAGAGUUUUGGAAAUUCCAAAUAAGAGUAGAAGACCCGUCAAGGCAAACACAUCAAUUGGAAGUCCCACGCAUCCCCUUUAGUCGAUACAUAAUCUGACAAUAAACAACUAACAUUUAAAUUUCUUUUCUUUUCUUUUUGAAAUUUUUGUUAGUAUUUACUUGUUUAUAGUUGAGAUUAUGAAAAAAAAAUGUGAAAUAGUCAAAUUUAAAACUUAUAUAUUAGGCAUUAUAUUAUACGGCGAUCUUUUUGUAGGGUCUUUUAUCCUUUAUUUUAGAAUUUUUACAUAAUUAUGUAAAUUUAUAAUUAUAAACUUUUUGUCACACACAACUCUUGUGUCCAAGCUAAUAAUAUAUAUAAAAGAUUUGCUUAGACAUAAAUUUUUGAAUAUUUACUAAAGUAAUUUGAAAGACCAAUAUUUACUAUUAAAAGAACUAAAAUUGCGAAAAAAAAUCCACCAAAAGAGGAGCUCCAAUUCCGAAUAGCUUAGUUUGGAUUUGGCUCCCCUCCAAUUAUUUAAUUUUAAUAAUUUUGUUAGUAAUGAUCAAAAUAAGUUAAUAGAUGGUGGAUGAUAUUAAGAUUCAUCCUCCCACAAAUUAGAAUAGUAAAAAAUAUUUCCACCAUUAAAAAUUUAAAAGAAUUUUCAAUCACUAAAAUUUUGAUAAAAUAUUCAUAUGUUCAUCAAAUAGUAAAUUUUUUUGAACAAUUAAGUUAUUCACUAUAAUAAAUUAAUUGAUCCAUAAUUAUAAAAGUAUGGUAUAUUAAUUAAAUGAAUUGAAAGAAAAGUGUAAUAGAAAAUUUAAAUUAUUUCACAAGCCAAUCCAAACCACGCAAGACGGCAAAAGUCUACAUUAGGGCUUUAUGACCGAGACCUUCAAGUCUUUGUCGGCUAGCUUAUAGUUUAUGUGCACUACAUACAUUUGAAGUAGUGGUAUUGAUAAGACCAUACAUUUGAAGUAGUGGCCUUCAAGUCUUUAAGUAGUGGUAUUGAUAUAUACAUUUGAAGUAGUGGUAUGGAUAAGACCAUACAUACAUUCGAAGUAGUGGUAUUGAUAAGACCAUAUAUACAUUUGAAGUAGUCGUAUUGAUAAGACCAUACAUUUGAAGUAGUGACCUUUAAGUCUUUAAGUAGUUGUAUUGAUAUAUACAUUUGAAGUAGUGGUAUAUAUUGAUAUCACAUUUGACCUUCAAGUCUUUGUCGGAUUGCUUAUAGUUUAUGUGGACUAUAUACAUUUGAAGUAGUGGUAUUGAUCUUCCUUUCCACAGUCUUCCCGUGGAAAUUAUUGAGAUAAAUUUCUCCAAAAUUAUCGAUAAAUUCGUUAAAGAAUAUGAUUGAAGCGACUCUGGGUGGAUCCAAUUAUUAAUAAGACCAUUUCUUCACUGGGGGAUUGUAUUCACUAAAAAUUAACUACUCCCUGCAUUCCAAACUAUAAAGACUAAAUGUUGUGGACUAUAUGUUAUGCAUUUGCAUGUUUUUGAAGUCAUUCUUUACAUCUUUUAUGUUUCAAACAUAAAUAAGAUAAUUUAAUCAUUUAAAAAACUAAAUGACCCAAAAAAAAUUAUUGAGUUCUUGUCAAUUUAUCAAAAUAACACAAUUUUUGUUGCACCAAAAUCAUUGAACUUUCAAUAAAGGUAAAAAAUUUACUAAAUUUUGACCUGAUCAUAUAUACAAAUCAACAGACACGUUAGCUCAUAUGACACAUUUUUUGACACGUUAGCAGUCAACUCGAAAUUAUUGUAAUUGUUUUUCUUUUUCUUUUCUUUAUAUUCUGAUCACCAAUGCAUAUAUAUCUAUCUAAUAAAAUACAAAUGAUUUUGAAUUUUUCGUUCACUCAAUAAAUUAUCUGGGCCGUCCAAAAUUUAGGAUAAAUCUCAACAUCCAUACAGUGCCGGAGGCACGGGACACAUCUAUUAUAUAUAUAUGCGGGAAAGAAGAGAGGGAAUUAAUUCCUAAACCACUAUAUAUACUUUAUUUUCCAACAUGCCUUGUUUGCUAAUAACAUAAACAAUUCCAGUCAGUGUUUCGAAGUGUGUGAACCGUUAAAGAGUCAUGAGGAUAGCUUGCAUCAUGGUCUUUUCUAUUGUAGUAGUACUCUUGUUGCUUCAUACUAUUCUUACGAGUUGCUCAGCCAUAAGUACUAGCCUUCAUCAUCAUCAUCAUCAUCAUCAUCAUCAUCAUGCAACUCUAAUUAACAUCACCACGGAUGAAUCCACUCUUUUGGCCUUGAAAUCUAGUAUCAUUUCUGAUCCUAACCGUACCCUUAUAAACAAUUGGUCCAUCGCUAAAGGCUCUUGUUGUAACUGGGUUGGAGUCACUUGUGGCACUCGCCAUAAGCGAGUCGUCGCCUUAAAUCUUUCAACCAUGGGCCUAAUAGGCACCAUUCCUCCGCAAAUUGGAAACCUCUCAUUCCUUGUUUCGCUUGAUCUUAGAAAUAAUAGCUUCAGCGAUUCCCUUCCCAAAGAUUUGUCUGCUUUGCGUCGACUUAAAAAAUUAAGUCUAAGAUUCAACAACUUUGGAGGGGAGCUUCCCUCAUGGUUGGGUGAAUUAACCAAACUUGAACUUUUGAUCUGUUCGGGAGCGUUUUACCGACCCUCCUUUGGGCCGAAGAUUCAACACCAGAAAGGUUGGAAAGACCGAUGGGCCGAAGCCCAUGAAAGUGUUGGAGGUGCUCGGGUCGACAUUUGAGCCCUCCGGGACCAUAGCUGAACCCGGUCUGGUGAUGUUCGGGGUCGGGUCUUUUGAGUUCUUUGGGCCGAAGCCCAGAUUAGAUUAUAGGACCGUUUGGGCCUGCACAGUGGGCUCUCCUGCGUGCAGAGUCCGGGUACCUAUUCGUAUGCAUAUAAGGCAACUCCAAAGGUGGUAAUGAGAUUGGACUCUACUUGCACCUUUUAAGGAGAUUGUGUUGGACCCAAGUUAUGGUAACUACCAUACACUAGGAGUCCUAAUCCGACUGGGAGAAGGAUUCUAAGGUGGUGAGUACUAUAAAUAUGAGGCCUAGGUUAUCAUUAUGAGGUAA